GUGCCAGCAGCCGCGGUAAUACAGAGGGUGCGAGCGUUGUUCGGAAUUACUGGGCGUAAAGCGCGUGUAGGCGGCGGGAUAAGUCGCAUGUGAAAGCCCUCGGCUCAACCGAGGAAGUGCAUGCGAUACUGUUUCGCUUGAAUGCCGGAGGGGAUGGCGGAAUUCCCGGUGUAGAGGUGAAAUUCGUAGAUAUCGGGAGGAACACCUGUGGCGAAGGCGGCCAUCUGGACGGCAAUUGACGCUGAGACGCGAAAGCGUGGGUAGCAAACAGGAUUAGAUACCCCGGUAGUCC
rnacentral:rRNA from 1 species